GUUGCAUGAAGGUGAAAAUGGAGUCAGAGGGUCUAAGAUCAAUCUUAAUAAAACAUCCUUCAAACAAAUAGUUGAAAUAGUCAAGAUAAAAUGAGACUUCUCUUCAUCAUGAGCACAUAGAGGGACACUUGCUGACGAAAUGCUUACAUUCCUGGAAACAACAUUCUUCCAGACUGCUCAGUCAAAUGUUGACCUGGAACUUCCACUUGUCAAUCAAUUCCUCGCUGAGGGGAAAAACUAUUCUGACAAUUGUUUCCCUAGGGAAAGCUACAAAUCCUGUACUUUGCAUCUAGAAGGCCAGUUGGAUCUAUUUUUCACUCUGAUUCUUAUGGUCUUUUCCUCUUCUUUUUUUUUCUGUUUAUUUUUUGUAUAUAGAAAAUAAAGAACAGGACUUUACAGCUAUUGAGAAACACACAUAGCAAUUCUAUUUCCGUUGCUAGGCAACAAGAGCCAUGUACCAGCACAAUGAAUGGAUUCUGGUCAGCUGUAUUAUACAAGCAGCUAUCGAGAGCUGUCUUCAUAACCACAGGGGAAAGCCGAGGGUCUCUGGAUUCCACCGUGUUUUCUCUGCAUAAAUAAUCUCACAAGCUUUGAGAGGAAAGUAAAGCACAUGCCAGUGGGUCUUCAAAUCAAUGUGGUGGCGUGUUACAACUGCACCAAGUUAUUUACUACUGAAACUAUUUAAUAACCAAUACCGUAUCGAAGAGCUCCUAGCACACUCUGGUGGCAUGUGUGAAGCUUGUUUUGCUGAGUUGUGCAGAAGAGUUCUGCUCCACUGAUGACCUGGUACACGAACAUGCAGCAUCUUCUCGGCACCCUGAGUUAAUCCAUUUAUUUGUCUCUCUUCAUCGUCCCAGAAACAGUGUAUUUCUAUGGUCGGCCUUAAGAUGCUAGCAACUAGACUGCUAGAAAUAAAAUAGUAACGGCCUAACAAUA
rnacentral:sRNA from 1 species